AAAGGUUACGGUAAGAGAUGAGCAUNNGUCCUAUUAGCUAGAUGGUAAGGUAACGGCUUACCAUGGCAACGAUAGGUAGGGGUCCUGAGAGGGAGAUCCCCCACACUGGUACUGAGACACGGACCAGACUCCUACGGGAGGCAGCAGUGAGGAAUUUUGGACAAUGGGCGAGAGCCUGAUCCAGCCAUGCCGCGUGCAGGAAGACUGCCCUAUGGGUUGUAAACUGCUUUUGUAUAGGAAGAAACCUUUCCUCGUGAGGAAAAUUGACGGUACUAUACGAAUAAGGAUCGGCUAACUCCGUGCCAGCAGCCGCGGUAAUACGGAGGAUCCAAGCGUUAUCCGGAAUCAUUGGGUUUAAAGGGUCCGUAGGCGGGUUUAUAAGUCAGUGGUGAAAGUCUGCAGCUUAACUGUAGAACUGCCAUUGAUACUGUAGAUCUUGAAUCAUUAUGAAGUGGUUAGAAUGUGUAGUGUAGCGGUGAAAUGCAUAGAUAUUACACAGAAUACCGAUUGCGAAGGCAGAUCACUAAUAAUGUAUUGACGCUGAUGGACGAAAGCGUAGGUAGCAAACAGGAUUAGAUACCCUGGUAGUCUACGCCGUAAACGAUGGUUACUAGCUGUCCGGCCUAAUUGAGGGCUGGGUGGUUAAGCGAAAGUGAUAAGUAACCCACCUGGGGAGUACGUUCGCAAGAAUGAAACUCAAAGGAAUUGACGGGGGCCCGCACAAGCGGUGGAGCAUGUGGUUUAAUUCGAUGAUACGCGAGGAACCUUACCAGGGCUUAAAUGCAGUCUGACGUACUUGGAAACAGGUAUUUCUUCGGACAGAUUGCAAGGUGCUGCAUGGUUGUCGUCAGCUCGUGCCGUGAGGUGUCAGGUUAAGUCCUAUAACGAGCGCAACCCCUGUGGUUAGUUGCCAGCACGUAAUGGUGGGAACUCUAGCCAGACUGCCGGUGCAAACCGUGAGGAAGGUGGGGAUGACGUCAAAUCAUCACGGCCCUUACGUCCUGGGCCACACACGUGCUACAAUGGUAGGGACAGAGAGCAGCCACUUCGCGAGAAGGAGCGAAUCUAUAAACCCUAUCACAGUUCGGAUCGUAGUCUGCAACUCGACUACGUGAAGCUGGAAUCGCUAGUAAUCGCAUAUCAGCCAUGAUGCGGUGAAUANNNNCCCGGGCCUUGUACACACCGCCCGUCAAGCCAUGGAAGCCGGGGGUACCUGAAAGUCCG
rnacentral:rRNA from 1 species